rnacentral:rRNA from 1 species
CCUACGGGCGGCAGCAGUGGGGAAUAUUGGACAAUGGGCGAAAGCCUGAUCCAGCCAUGCCGCGUGUGUGAAGAAGGCCUUCGGGUUGUAAAGCACUUUCAGUGGGGAAGAAAGCCUUGGGGCUAAUACCCUCGAGGAAGGACAUCACCCACAGAAGAAGCACCGGCUAACUCCGUGCCAGCAGCCGCGGUAAUACGGAGGGUGCGAGCGUUAAUCGGAAUUACUGGGCGUAAAGCGCGCGUAGGCGGUCUGAUAAGCCGGUUGUGAAAGCCCCGGGCUCAACCUGGGAACGGCAUCCGGAACUGUCAGGCUAGAGUGCAGGAGAGGAAGGUAGAAUUCCCGGUGUAGCGGUGAAAUGCGUAGAGAUCGGGAGGAAUACCAGUGGCGAAGGCGGCCUUCUGGACUGACACUGACGCUGAGGUGCGAAAGCGUGGGUAGCAAACAGGAUUAGCUACCCCAGUAGUC